GUGAGGAAUUUUGCGCAAUGGCCGCAAGGCUGACGCAGCAACGCCGCGUGAGUGAAGAAGGUUUUCGGAUCGUAAAACUCUGUUGUUAGAGAAGAAUGUUGAUUAGAGUGGAAAAUUAAUCAAGUGACGGUAUCUAACCAGAAAUGGACGGCUAACUACGUGCCAGUAGCCGCGGUAAUACGUAGGUCCCGAGCGUUGUCCGGAUUUAUUGGGCGUAAAGCGAGCGCAGGUGGUUUAAUAAGUCUGAUGUAAAAGGCAGUGGCUCAACCAUUGUGUGCAUUGGAAACUGUUAGACUUGAGUGCAGUAGCGGAGAGUGGAAUUCCAUGUGUAGCGGUGAAAUGCGUAGAUAUAUGGAGGAACACCGGUGGCGAAAGCGGCUCUCUGGACUGUCACUGACACUGAGGCUCGAAAGCGUGGGUAGCAAACAGGAUUAGAAACCCCGGUAGUCC
rnacentral:rRNA from 1 species